rnacentral:rRNA from 1 species
UACAGAGGUCUCAAGCGUUGUUCGGAUUCAUUGGGCGUAAAGGGUGUGUAGGUGGCGCCGUAAGUCGGGUGUGAAAUCUCGGGGCUUAACUCCGAAACUGCAUUCGAUACUGCGGUGCUUGAGGACUGGAGAGGAGACUCGAAUUCAUGGUGUAGCAGUGAAAUGCGUAGAGAUCAUGAGGAAGACCAGUGGCGAAGGCGGGUCUCUGGACAGUUCCUGACACUGAGACACGAAGGCCAGGGGAGCAAACGGG